UUUGGGUUAUCUUCCACCAUUAUUUCCGGAGGGCGAGGUGGACAUAGCAGUCCCAUCAGUAGCUCAUCACAUGAGGAGGUGUAGGAAGAUGUGGAGGAACACGCGCAUCGCUCUCCGCCAAGCCCAAGCGACCACGGUCAUCUCCGGGAAUAGACGGCGACGGCCGAGCCCGCUGUACAAGGUGGGAGCGGUCCAGGCGAUACUGGAGAUUGGGACACUUACGUUUUAGAAGCCCUGGAACCGACUCCGUUCGUCUGGACAUGUGUUAUGUGCUUAUGAACAUUAACUUCCUUUACUUACGCUGUAGUAUUUUGUUACAUUGCUGAUUGUAGUUUGGGGUACUGGUAUUAAAACCCUCUUUCAUUGA